rfam:Aeromonas diversa 2478-85 Contig 31, whole genome shotgun sequence.
CCAUCACCACCACCAUCCCGACUAGUCUUUCAGGAGGUUGGCUGCUGGAAGACCGAUACCGGUGACUUCCGCAGGCCCUCGAUCCCCAGACCCUCGGAAGCACAGCUUCCGAGGGUUUUUU